ensembl:miRNA
GGCCCGCUUUGGCACUAGCACAUUUUUGCUUUGCUUUAUGUGUUUUGAGCAAUUAUGUGUAGUGCCAAUAUGGGAGAAGGCGGAGA